GGGGCUGAUUGGUUUCGACUGGGGACGUUAGUCCCAGGAGAAGCGGGUCGAGAAGCCAGCGUCAUCUCGUAAACGUUCGCUGGAAACCAUAAGUGCCAACGCAAAGCGCACUGACUUCGCUCUCGCUGCCUGAGCAGUGAUCGAAGGGUCGGACCGGGCA
rnacentral:tmRNA from 1 species